rnacentral:tRNA from 1 species
GUUCCUGUAGUGCAAUGGAUAGCGCGCUGGACUUUUAAUCCAAAGGUCGUGGGUUCGAAUCCCACCUGGGAUA